CCCGACUGCCCAUGGUGCCUACGCGGCAACCUCACAACCGGUCUGCUGAGCUGGGUGGAGGAGAGGUUCCACCCACCCCAGAAGGAGUCCACUCCCAUCCCCUAAACUCCAGGAGCUGCCCUUGGCUGAGGAAGGACUGCAGAGGGCACGGGGCAGGCUGAGCCCAGGGUGGCAGGGGCUGCAUGGUGCCCGGGAUGCCUGGCAGGAGAGAGACCCGCAGCCCAGAAGGCUUCCUCUCCAGGACUGGGGGCCCCUCAGUGCUCACACUUCCCACUAACUGCCAGCAUCCCCUACAACAUGGCCCACGUCUCAAGGGAUUGGAAGGAGCCCCCGCAGAGGCCAUCGGCACGGACUAGAAUGCAACCCAGUGGGGCAUCCACCGAUGUGGUCAAACGCUCAGCCAAGAUGGUGGGAAGCGUUCAGACAGAAGUAACUUCUAAAACAUUGCUAGGGAAACGCUCUGACAUCUUCCGUAGAGGUGAAAAAGCACAGGUCUGACUCAGGUAGCUGCGAGUUCAAGUUCAGCCGCAGGCUCUUCCCCAAGGUGCUGGUCUUCGCAGGAACCCCUUGCAGGCAGCUGCAAAGAGCAGCACGGCGCGCACACACAGGGUCCGGCUGGCGUCUGGCCAGAGCAAGGGAACAGUAAGUGUGUCCUGGAGGCGCUCGCCAUGCACUCACACGCCAUCUGUGGAUUCGGAAGUGACCUCCCCCUCGGUUGAUGAGGGUUCUCUGCGUCUGGAGAACACAGGACGUCCACAGGAAAGUUCUCCCUCCUGCACUCCCGGCUGGCUCUGAAAAUUAUGAAGGCAGAGACGUCCGUGCCUGAUACUGUCCUGGCAGCCACGUGCCCUCAUACACUUGCCCAGACCCUGAAUGUGCUACACGGAGUGACCCCAAUUACACCGUGGGCCCCGGGUGACUGCGACAUGUGAGUGCAGGUUCACCCACGUCACAGACGAACCGCUCCGGUGCAGGGGGAGCUGCGCACGUCGGGGCGGGGGCUGUGGCGUGGGACCUCUGUACCUUCUCUCAAUUUGGCUGUAAGCCUACAACUGCCCUAAAAUAAAGUCUCUUUAUUUAUUUUUUUA
rnacentral:lncRNA from 1 species